GUCAACGGUCAUACCCCGUUGAAAGUACCAGUUCUCGUCCGAUCACUGAAGUCAAGCAACGUUGGGCACGGUUAGUACUUAGAUGGGUGACCGCUUGGGAAUACCGUGUACUGUUGGCA